UACGAGUGCCUCAAGCGUUAUCCGGAAUCAUUGGGCGUAAAGGGUUUGUAGGUGGUCAUGUUAGUCUCUCGUUAAAUUUCCCGGCUUAACCGGGAACCUGCGGGGGAAACGGCAUGACUUGAGGAUGCAAGGGGUCUGCGGAACUCAUAGUGUAGCGGUGAAAUGCGUUGAUAUUAUGGGGAACACCAAAAGCGAAGGCAGCAGACUGGGGCACUCCUGACACUGAAAAACGAAAGCGUGGGUAGCGAAUGGG
rnacentral:rRNA from 1 species